rnacentral:rRNA from 1 species
GAUGAACGCUGGCGGCAGGCUUAACACAUGCAAGUCGAGGGGUAUAGGUUUUUGGACCUAGAGACCGGCGCACGGGUGCGUAACGCGUAUGCAAUUUACCUUUCACAGAGGGAUAGCCCAGAGAAAUUUGGAUUAAUACCUCAUAGUAUAAUGACUUGGCAUCGAGACAUUAUUAAAGUCACAACGGUGAAAGAUGAGCAUGCGUCCCCUUAGUUAGUUGGUAAGGUAACGGCUUACCAAGACUACGAUGGGUAGGGGUCCUGAGAGGGAGAUCCCCCCCCCUGGUACUGAGACACGGACCAGACUCCUACGGGAGGCAGCAGUGAGGAAUAUUGGACAAUGGGCGCAAGCCUGAUCCAGCCCUGCCGCGUGCAGGAUGAAGCAUUUAUGGUGUGUAAACUGCUUUUGUACGAGAAGAAACACUAGUUUGUGAACUAGCUUGACGGUAUUGUAAGAAUAAGGACCGGCUAACUCCGUG